rnacentral:misc_RNA from 1 species
UCCUGGUUAACCCAGGCAGUCUCUCUAGAGUGCCCAACUUAAUGCUGGCAACUAAAGAUAGGGGUUGCGCUCGUUGCGAGACUUAACCCAACAUUUCACAACACGAGCUGACGACAGCCAUGCAGCGCCUGUCACUGAAUUCCCCGAAGGGCACAACCGCUUUUGGGCGGUCUUCUCAGGAUUUCAAGCCUAGGUAAGGUUUUGCGCGUUGCUUCGAAUUAAACCACAUAAUCCACCGCUUGUGCGGGCCCCCGUCAAUUCCUUUGAGUUUUAGUCUUGCGACCGUACUCCCCAGGCGGACAACUUAACGCGUUGGCUGUACCACUGCAGGGGUCAAUACCCGCAAUGGUUAGUUGUCAUCGUUUACGGCGUGGACUAC